rnacentral:rRNA from 1 species
AGAGUUUGAUCAUGGCUCAGGACGAACGCUGGCGGCGUGCUUAACACAUGCAAGUCGAGCGGAAAGGCCCUUCGGGGUACUCGAGCGGCGAACGGGUGAGUAACACGUGAGGAACCUGCCCCUGGCUCUGGGAUAGCUCCGGGAAACCGGGAUUAAUACCGGAUAUGACUGCCUUACGCAUGUUUGGUGGUGGAAAGUUUUUCGGCUGGGGAUGGCCUCGCGGCCUAUCAGCUUGUUGGUGGGGUGAUGGCCUACCAAGGCGAUGACGGGUAGCCGGCCUGAGAGGGCGACCGGCCACACUGGGACUGAGACACGGCCCAGACUCCUACGGGAGGCAGCAGUGGGGAAUAUUGCGCAAUGGGCGGAAGCCUGACGCAGCGACGCCGCGUGGGGGAUGACGGCCUUCGGGUUGUAAACCUCUUUCAGCAGGGACGAAGCUAACGUGACGGUACCUGCAGAAGAAGCGCCGGCUAACUACGUGCCAGCAGCCGCGGUAACACGUAGGGCGCGAGCGUUGUCCGGAAUUAUUGGGCGUAAAGAGCUCGUAGGCGGCCUGUUGCGUCUGCCGUGAAAUCCCGGGGCUUAACCCCGGGUCUGCGGUGGAUACGGGCAGGCUAGAGGCAGGCAGGGGAGAAUGGAAUUCCCGGUGUAGCGGUGAAAUGCGCAGAUAUCGGGAGGAACACCGGUGGCGAAGGCGGUUCUCUGGGCCUGUACUGACGCUGAGGAGCGAAAGCGUGGGGAGCGAACAGGAUUAGAUACCCCCGUAGUCC